rnacentral:misc_RNA from 1 species
GUCCACAUAAUAUGAUUAGUCCUGGUGAUACUUGCUUGGUUCAGGGCAGCAUCUAUAAAAUCAUUAACCCGCUGUUCAACGUUGUAGUCAUAAAGUGAAGGAUCAUCCUGAAUAAGAUUGGAGUCAUCGUUCACUUCAAAGUGAAAUCCAGGAGGAGGACUAUAAUGUACAGGGAAGGCAUUUGCAAAAAUCUGAGAUGAAGAACCAAAUGUUUUGGAGCCACGCCAUACAACUUCUAGAGAUUUAUCUACCUUGCGCUUUGCUCUAUCCUGAUAGUCAAUCCUUGCAAAAUGUA